rnacentral:rRNA from 2 species
GGGUGGAACGCUGGCGGCGUGCCUAAUACAUGCAAGUCGAACGAGUUCUGAUUAUUGAAAGGUGCUUGCAUCUUGAUUUAAUUUUGAACGAGUGGCGGACGGGUGAGUAACACGUGGGUAACCUGCCCUUAAGUGGGGGAUAACAUUUGGAAACAGAUGCUAAUACCGCAUAAAUCCAAGAACCGCAUGGUUCUUGGCUGAAAGAUGGCGUAAGCUAUCGCUUUUGGAUGGACCCGCGGCGUAUUAGCUAGUUGGUGAGGUAACGGCUCACCAAGGCAAUGAUACGUAGCCGAACUGAGAGGUUGAUCGGCCACAUUGGGACUGAGACACGGCCCAAACUCCUACGGGAGGCAGCAGUAGGGAAUCUUCCACAAUGGACGCAAGUCUGAUGGAGCAACGCCGCGUGAGUGAAGAAGGCUUUCGGGUCGUAAAACUCUGUUGUUGGAGAAGAAUGGUCGGCAAAGUAACUGUUGUCGGCGUGACGGUAUCCAACCAGAAAGCCACGGCUAACUACGUGCCAGCAGCCGCGGUAAUACGUAGGUGGCAAGCGUUAUCCGGAUUUAUUGGGCGAAGCGAGCGCAGGCGGUUUUUUAAUUCGGA